GAUGAAGACGCAGCGAAAUGCGAUAAGUAAUGUGAAUUGCAGAAUUCAGUGAAUCAUCGAAUCUUUGAACGCACAUUGCGCCCCCUGGUAUUCCGGGGGGCAUGCCUGUUCGAGCGUCAUUUCACCACUCAAGCCUCGCUUGGUAUUGGGCAUCGCGGUCCGCCGCGUGCCUCAAAUCGACCGGCUGGGUCUUCUGUCCCCUAAGCGUUGUGGAAACUAUUCGCUAAAGGGUGUUCGGGAGGCUACGCCGUAAAACAACCCCAUUUCUAAGGUUGACCUCGGAUCAGGUAGGGAUACCCGCUGAACUUAAGCAUAUCAAUAAGCGGAGGA
rnacentral:misc_RNA from 1 species